rnacentral:rRNA from 1 species
AACGGACGGAGAGCAGCGAACCCGCGAGGGCGAGCGAACCUCAAAAACCGUUUCUCAGUUCGGAUUGCAGGCUGCAACUCGCCUGCAUGAUCUCUUAUAGCAGAGAGUAAUCGCAGGUCAGCAUACUGCGGUGAAUACGUUCCCGGGUCUUGUACACACCGCCCGUCACACCCCUGAGUCGUCCACACCCGAAGCCGGCGCAGCCGUCUAAGGUGGGGAAUAUAAUGGGGAAGUCGUAACAAGGUAGCCG